ACAAGCGUCCUCUCCUGCUGCCGUGUGAGAUAUGGCUGCUUCCCGUUCUGCCAUGAUGGAUGGCUGUCCUUUCCCUGUCCUUGGAUGAAAACUCUGCUCAUCUCCAUGACUCUGUCUGUCACUGGAGGCAAGACAAAGCCCUAUGGUCAGUGGGAGUUGCAAAACAGAACCUGAGUCUCUUCCCAAGGUAACACUCCUCCUUCCCCCAUCCAGCUGGGACUAGCUGCAGACAGGACACUGGCUUUGGGAAGGGGGAUAGCCCUUUUCUCUUUUUCACUAAGAUCUGCUGUUUCUGAUUCCUUUUGCUGUGGAGUAUUGGGUAGAGAAGUGUGGAAAGAAGGAAAGUGGGUCAGCACAGUUCUUAUGUGCCUGUUAACAGCAUCCUAUGGCUUCAUGAUCUUUGGCUUGGUAUGAGAUGGGAGCUGACUGUCCGCCAGGCACUUGGGUUUUCUGGAGAUUCCCUUGCUGCCCUUAACUCCCAUCCUGUGCCCCUGGGCACUGCUGCCCCACCAACUGCUGGAUUUUCCAGAACCCACUCACACAGACGCAGAGACCUUCUCAGUUGGUUGAGAUCCCCUGACUACACACUCAGGGGCUGCCCCUGAGAUGAACAUUUCAUGUACAAAUGGUAUAUUCAGGAGGUGCUCCCAGGAGAAAGCUGUGAGCAAAUUGGGCCAGAAGGAAAGGGAAGGGAGAGAAGCCAAGCAAGGCAGUGACUUCAGGUGAAGCCCCAGCUUCAGUCUGAUUCUGUGGGCAGCUCUGCAGUAUAUAUUAGACCUUAGAGUUCGUUCCGACUCAGCAAGGUUGCUGGCCUUUCAUGUUCCCACACUACACGGUUGUUGGCUCAGGACUGCACCCAGGGGCCUGUGAAGGUGCCCAAGGGCCGGCUUCCAGAGACACUCAGCGGGUGCAGCCUUUAGAAGCAAAGGCACACAGGACCCAGUAAGAAUCAUAAAAAGGCCAGGCACGGUGGCUCAUGCCUGUAAUCCCAGCACUUUUGGAGGAUGAGGUAGGUGGAUCACUUGAGGUCAGGAGUUUGAGACCAGCCUGGCCGCCAUGGUGAAACCCCGUCUCUACUAAAAAUACAAAAAUUAGCUGGGCAUGGUGGCACACGCCUGUAAUCCCAGCUACUCGGGAGGCUGAGGCAGGAGAAUUGCUUGAACCUGAGAGGUGGAGGCUGCAGUAAGCCAAGUUUGCACCAGUGCACUCCAGCCUGGGUGAUACAGCAAGACUCCAUAGACCCCCACCUCAAAAAGAAAAAAAAAAGAAUAAUAAAAAAGUACAAGUAGAGCACCUACAGUGUCCCCAGCAUCAUGCUUACUGGACUCUGGGGGCUGUUUAUCUUAUUGUCCAAACUUGUUUUUCCAGUGACCAGCUCCUCCUGUUUGUCUGACCCUAACUUUCCACCUUUAAAACUCCUGUCUGAGAAGCUGAGGCCAGCUGCAGUGGGAAGAAAAGGGUACAUGGAGAGUGUCACUUUUUCUGAGGGCACCGCUAUUCACCCCCCAUCCUACCCCCCAUUCUUCCAACAUCCAUCACAACUCAUCACCAUUCACAUAAACUUUGACACACACUUUGUGUAUUUCCAUAAUGUUGUCAGCUGCCCAUAGAGCAUUGAGAAUAUAUUUCCCCAUUCUAGAGUGUUGGUAACUCAAUGUAUAGCAAUUUAUUCCACAAACACAGACAGUAACUCAACUGGUGAGAGGAGAAAAAAUAAAAAAAGGAUGCUACCAAACCACCACUGUCUCAGCACUGGAAAUCAAAAUGGUAAUGCAUGGAAUAGAUUUCUGCAAGUAAUAGGCUUGGUCGGCAGAAGUGUGAGCUGAAUUAAAUGCCUUCUAAGUAAAUCUCAGCGUGAGUUAUCUGUUCACUCAGACAUGCACGCAUGGAGACUGGAGUCUGUGUGGACAGACGGCACAUGCUGUAACUUCCAUUAUCCCACACUGAGAUUCUUUGUGAGUAGCCACAGUCAAAGGAACUGGAUAUUUCCUGAUCACUGUGACAGGUGGCUACAAGUGUGAGGAGAGGCAUUCAUUCAUUCCUUUAUUAAUUCAUUCAUUCUUCAAGCCUUUGUGAGGCCCCAGAUGUGCCAAACAUUGUGUGGGGCAUUGAAGGUGCAGAGAUACAGGGGUGAAUCAGACAAGGUCCCUGUCCUGUGGACUCAAAGUCUGAUGGUGGGGACAGAGCAGCAGACAGUUCAGGUAGUGAAUGUUAGCAUGCUGCAAAAGCAGGCAAGGUUGCAGGCUCUGCAGUCAGACCAGCAGCGUUGGAAUCUGGGCCCUGCCACUUACUCGGUUGGGGAAGAUGCUUCACCUAAGUUUCCUCAUCUAUGAAAUGGGGCUAGAAAUACUGUCUGUCUAAGGGUGGAUGUGAAGAUGAGGUGACAUAGUGGGGAUAAAAUGCAUAGCAGAGGCCAGGCAUGGUGGCUCAUGCCCGUAAUCUCAGCACUUUGGGAGGCUGAGGCAGGCAGAUCACUUCAGGUCAGGAGCUCGAGACUGUCAUGGCCAACAUGGUGAAACCCUGUCCCUAGUAAAAAUACAAAAGUUAUCUGGGCGUGGUGGCACGUGCCUGUAGUCCCAGCUGCUUGGAAGGCUGAGGCAGGAGAAUCAUUUGAACUUAGAGGCGGAGGUUGCAGUGAGCCAAGAUCGCAUCACUGCACUCCAGCCUGGGCGACAGAGAGAGACCCUGUCUUAAAAAAAUAAAAAAUAAAAAAGCAUAGCCGAGAGCCUGAUUAUAGUAAGUGCUCAAUAAAUAUUAGUUGUUGCUACCACUGUUACUGAUACCCAUACAGAGCUCAAUGUAAGGAGUCAGGAAUGUUUCUGUUGUACACACAUCAGGUGGGUGGCAGUCCAAUGACCACAACCAAGGAAGAUUUAACACAGGGAUUUCAUUGCUUGCAACAAGGAAGGAGGACAUUGGGGACAGUGCCCAAAGCAGUGCGUCCCCAAACAAAGGUGAAAACAGGGCAUUUAUUAGGCUGAUUAGCUGAGCCAUUAUAUGUACAGGUGCAGUUGCCGAGCAUGCUUCUAUGGACGUCACAUCCAUAGAAAACAGCCAAUAAGCUCCUCCCUGGAUGGGGUUUUUUAGUGUGGUGAUGAGGAUAAUUCCCCAAAGUUCACUCGAAUUCAGGCAUCUCUGGAGCUAACCAGUUUUGGUUUUGCCAGGGUUAGGCUUCUUUUUGAAACUUUUGAAACAACAAAAAUUCAAAAUGCAACAGUUACAACUGGGUACUUUUUGGACAAUGAGUAUCCCCAAAUCCGGGGAUCCUGGGUUACAUUUUGAUGGAGGAGGUGAUGCUCAUUUAGAGAUUUGAGCAGUGUUGGUGCACCUGAGUCAGGAAAGGGACUGAAGUGCAGAGGAGGAAGGAUGAACAAAGGCUCAGAGUGGGCAGAAGCUUCAACAACAGACAUUUAUUUUCUCAUGGUUCUCAGGGUUAGAAGUCCAUGAUCAGGGUUCAAGCCAAUUCCAUUUUUGGUAAGGACUCUCUUCCUGGCUUGCAGACAGCUUCCUCUUGCUGUGUUCUUGCAUUGCCUUGCUUUUGUGCAUGUGCAAACAGAAAUUGAGAUCUCUGAGUGUCUCUUCCUCUUCUUUUCUUUUCUUUCUUUCUUUCUUUUUUUUUUUUUUUUUUUUUGAGACAGAGUCUCACUCUGUCACCCAGGCUGGAGUGCACUGGUGCCGUCUUGGCUCACUGCAACCUCUGCCUCCGGGGUUCAAGUGAUUCUCCUGCCUCAGCCUCCUGAGUAGCUGGGAUUACAGGCAUGUACCACCACACCUGGCUAAUUUUUGUAUUUUUAGUAGAGACGGGGUUUCACCAUGUUGGUCAGGCUGGUCUUGAACUCCUGACCUCAAGUGAUUCACCCACCUUGGCCUCCCAAAGUGCUGGGAUUGCAGGCGUGAGCCACUGCACCUGGCCCCUUCUUUAUCUUUUUUAAAGACAAGGUCUCACUCUGUCUCCCAGGCCGGAGUGCAGUGGUGCAACCACAGCUCACUGCAGCCUCAAACUUCUGGGCUCAAACAAUCCUCCCACUUCAACCUCCUAUGUAGCUAGGACUACAGGCGAAUGCUGCCACGCCUGGCUAAUUUUUAAAUUUUGUGUAGAGACGAUGUCUCACUGUUUCCCAGGCUGGUCUUGAACUCCUGGCCUCAAGUGAUCCUCCUGCUUCAGCCUCCCAGAGUGCUGGGAUUACAGGCAUGCACGAUGGUGCCCAGCCUCUCUUCUUAUAAGGAAACCAAUCCUAUCAGAUUAGGCCCUGCCUUUAUGACUCUAAUCACCUCCUUAAAGAUCCCAUCUCCAAAUACAGUCACAUUAGGGGUCAGGGCAUCAACAUAUGAAUUUUUUUUUGGGGGGGGGACACAAACAUUCAGUUUAUGACAGAGUCAUUGGAAUACUCGAUCUAUGGCAUGUUUCCCUACUUAUUAGCUGUGUGACCUUAGGAUCUAUAAAAUUAGGUCAGUAGUGACUGACUCUUGGGACUUUUGUAUGGAUUAAUCCAGGGAAUAUGUUGUGUUGGAGUGACAGGAAAUGUUGAAGCCUGGGGUUGUUUAGGAAAAUGAUGGAGCAGGACACAGCUCAUAGCAGUAGGAGGAGAGCAAUGGGGGUGCAGGAGCAUUUUUGGCACCCACGAGUGAAGAGGUUGCCUGUCCCAGUGACCCAGAGAGUCUCUGGAGCAGUCGGUACUCAGGUGUGUGCAGAAAUUUUAACUGAACCUGUCCAAGACUUCCACUUCUGUUGCUGUGGACAACCUAUGCUGCAAGAGCUAUGGGGGCCUUUUGUAUCAAAAGAUGUUUUGUAUGCCACCAGCCAAUCGAAAUGAGACAUGACAAAUCUCAUCAGUCCUUUCUCAGUUCAGUACAUUCUGACUCCUUCCUUAGCAAGAGUAUGAAUGCAACAUGAAAAGGAAAAUUGAAUGAGCCAACAAGGCUGGACAACAAGCUGACUGUAGAUCCAUGAACCUCAGGAAUGGUCUUUAGUGGCUCGGGUUUACAGCAUGGCAGUAGUCGUGUAUGGAACAGUCCCAUCUUGCACAAGACUGGCAUCUCAAAGCUAUCACUUCCAAUUGACUAUUGACAAUGUUAAAAAAUUUAUAAUUCAUAUGAAUUGUGGGUCACCUUGUGUCCAGGCUCAACACAAAUCUCAUGCUGCAAAAAAACCUCAGUCUAGAAUUCGAAAGCAACUGAAAAGGCAAUUUAAGUUUUUAGUAUAGUCCUUUUAAGAAUGGUGCAGGAGGCCGGGCGCGCUGGCUCACACCUAUAAUUCCAGCACUUUGGGAGGCCGAGGUGGGUGGAUCAUGAGGUCAGGAGUUCUAGACCAGCCUGACCAACAUGGCAAAACCCCGUCUCUACUAAAAAUACAAAAAUUAGCCAGGUAUGGUGGCGCAUACCUGUAAUCCCAGCUACUCGGGAGGCUGAGGCAGGAGAAUUGCUUGAACCCGGUAGGCGGAGGUUGUAGUGAGCUAAGAUUGUGCCAUUGCACUCCAGCCUGAGCAACAGAGUGAGACUCUGUCUCAGAAAAAAAAAAAAAAUGAUGCAGGGAAUUUACAUAAAAAGGCAAAGAAAAACUUUAAACUCCUUUAUCCUUCUUUCUCAUAGUUUUAAUAUCUCCCCCAUACAAAGCCUUCUUCGCUCCAUCUUCCCAGCUGACAUUACUCUUUCUUCCCCCUUUCCAUGUAGUUAAAUUACUUAUUUAUUCAUUUAAAUUUGUAUUGUGUCUCUCCUACGUGCCAAGAUCUGUGAUGAACAUGAUGACAGAACAGAGUUAUGGUUCUAGCUUUCUCAAGUUUAUAUCCUUUGAAGUUGUGGGUAUCUAGUAACUUUUCCACCCUCCCCUGGAAGAUUCCUAAGAGCCACUUGUCUUACAUGAAA
rnacentral:lncRNA from 1 species